rnacentral:rRNA from 1 species
AGUGAACGCUGGCGGUAGGCCUAACACAUGCAAGUCGAACGGCAGCACAGGAGAGCUUGCUCUCUGGGUGGCGAGUGGCGGACGGGUGAGGAAUACAUCGGAAUCUACUCUGUCGUGGGGGAUAACGUAGGGAAACUUACGCUAAUACCGCAUACGACCUACGGGUGAAAGCAGGGGACCUUCGGGCCUUGCGCGAUUGAAUGAGCCGAUGUCGGAUUAGCUAGUUGGCGGGGUAAAGGCCCACCAAGGCAACGAUCCGUAGCUGGUCUGAGAGGAUGAUCAGCAACACUGGAACUGAGACACGGUCCAGAGUCCUACGGGAGGCAGCAGUGGGGAAUAUUGGACAAUGGGCGCAAGCCUGAUCUAGCCAUACCGCGUGGGUGAAGAAGGCCUUCGGGUUGUAAAGCCCUUUUGUUGGGAAAGAAAUCCAGCUGGCUAAUACCCGGUUUGGAUGACGGUACCCAAAGAAUAAGCACCGGCUAACUUCGUGCCAGCAGCCGCCGUAA